AGCCCAUGCAUGCUUUGAUUCAUUAAAUGAAAUUGCGUACGGCUCAUUAGAGCAGAUAUCACCUUUCUCGGAAUCCUGAAAAGGAUAACUGCGGAAAUUCUGGAGCUAAUACAUGCGACUAUACUCCAACGCAAGGCGGGGUGCAAUUAUUAGAACAGACCAAACGUUUUCGGACGUUGUUUGUUGACUCUGAAUACCGUCGUUUACUGUCAGUUUCGACUGACUCUAUCCGAGAAGGGUGUCUGCCCUUUCAACUAGAUGGUAAUCUAUUGGACUACCAUGGUUGUUACGGGUAACGGAGAAUUAGGGUUCGACUCCGGAGAGGGAGCCUUAGAAACGGCUACCACGUCCAAGGAAGGCAGCAGGCGCGAAACUUAUCCACUGUUGAGUAUGAGAUAGUGACUAAAAAUAUAAAGACUCAUCCUUUUGGAUGAGUUAUUUCAAUGAGUUGAAUAUAAAUUAUUCUUCGAGUAGCAAGGAGAGGGCAAGUCUGGUGCCAGCAGCCGCGGUAAUUCCAGCUCUCCUAGUGUAUCUCGUUAUUGCUGCGGUUAAAAAGCUCGUAGUUGGAUCUAGGUUACGUGCCGCAGUUCGCAAUUUGCGUUAACUGUGGUCGUGACUUCUAAUUUGCUGGUUUGAGGUUGGGUUCGCCCUUCAACUGCCAGCAGGUUUACCUUGAAUAAAUCAGAGUGCUCAAUACAGGCGCUUGCUUGAAUAGCUCAUCAUGGAAUAAUGAAACAGGACUUCGGUUCUUUUUGUUGGUUCUAGAAUUGAUCUAAUGGUUAAGAGGGACAAACCGGGGGCAUUCGUAUCAUUACGCGAGAGGUGAAAUUCGUGGACCGUAGUGAGACGCCCAAUAGCGAAAGCAUUUGCCAAGAAUGUCUUCAUUAAUCAAGAACGAAAGUCAGAGGUUCGAAGGCGAUUAGAUACCGCCCUAGUUCUGACCGUAAACGAUGCCAUCUCGCGAUUCGGAGGGUUCAUGCCCUACCGAGGAGCUACCCGGAAA
rnacentral:ncRNA from 1 species